GACGAACCGUGCGAACGUUGUUCGGAUUCACUGGGCUUAAAGGGCGCGUAGGCGGGCCGCCAAGUCGAGGGUGAAAGCCCGCAGCUCAACUGCGGAAGUGCCUUUGAAACUGACGGCCUCGAGGGAGGUAGGGGCAUGCGGAACUUCCGGUGGAGCGGUGAAAUGCGUAGAUAUCGGAAGGAACGCCGGUGGCGAAAGCGGCGUGCUGGACCUCUUCUGACGCUGAGGCGCGAAAGCCAGGGGAGCAAACGGG
rnacentral:rRNA from 1 species